rnacentral:rRNA from 2 species
UUUAUUGAGAGUUUGAUCCUGGCUCAGGACGAACGCUGGCGGCGUGCCUAACACAUGCAAGUCGAGCGAAUGAAGUUCCUUCGGGGACGGAUUUAGCGGCGGACGGGUGAGUAACACGUGGGCAACCUGCCUCAUAGAGGGGAAUAGCCUUCCGAAAGGGAGAUUAAUACCGCAUAAGAUUGUAGUACCGCAUGAUACAGCAAUUAAAGGAGCAAUCCGCUAUGAGAUGGGCCCGCGGCGCAUUAGCUAGUUGGUGAGGUAACGGCUCACCAAGGCGACGAUGCGUAGCCGACCUGAGAGGGUGAUC